GGUUUAAACAUGCUGAAUCCAAACGAGCAGAACGUUUGGUACGGGGGAGCUUUAUAUGGGGUGAAUGUUUAUUUUACAUAAACUAGGAAUGCCUCGUUCCGAAUCCGACAACUAACCUCGGAAGCAACUAGGAGGAUGACA
rnacentral:sRNA from 2 species